UACGUAGGGCGCGAGCGUUGUCCGGAAUUAUUGGGCGUAAAGAGCUCGUAGGCGGCUUGUCACGUCGGGUGUGAAAGCCCGGGGCUUAACUCCGGUUCUGCAUUCGAUACGGGCGGGCUGGGAUUCGGUAGGGGAGACUGGAAUUCCUGGUGUAGCGGUGAAAUGCGCAGAUAUCAGGAGGAACACCGGUGGCGAAGGCGGGUCUCUGGGCCGUAACUGACGCUGAGGAGCGAAAGCAUGGGGAGCGAACAGG
rnacentral:rRNA from 1 species